rnacentral:rRNA from 1 species
UACGUAGGGUGCGAGCGUUACUCGGAAUUACUGGGCGUAAAGCGUGCGCAGGCGGUUGUGCAAGACAGAUGUGAAAUCCCCGGGCUUAACCUGGGAACUGCAUUUGUGACUGCAUAGCUAGAGUGUGUCAGAGGGGGGUAGAAUUCCACGUGUAGCAGUGAAAUGCGUAGAUAUGUGGAGGAAUACCGAUGGCGAAGGCAGCCCCCUGGGAUAACACUGACGCUCAUGCACGAAAGCGUGGGGAGCAAACAGG